rnacentral:misc_RNA from 1 species
UACGUAGGCACCAAGCGUUGUUCGGAAUUACUGGGCGUAAAGCGAGUGUAGGCGGUCUGCCAAGUCCUCUGUGAAAUCUCCCGGCUCAACUGGGAGGGUGCGGCGGAAACUGGCGGGCUCGAGUACGAGAGGGGAGAGUGGAAUUCCUGGUGUAGCGGUGAAAUGCGUAGAUAUCAGGAGGAACACCGGUGGUGAAGACGGCUCUCUGGAUCGUCACUGACGCUGAGACUCGAAAGCGUGGGUAGCAAACAGG